rnacentral:rRNA from 1 species
GUGGAUUAGAUACCCUGGUAGUCCUGGCCCUAAACGAUGUCCACUAGAUCGUGGUCCCUUGACGGGGAUCAUGGUCGAAGCAAAAGUGCUAAGUGGACCGCCUGGGAAGUACGGUCGCAAGGCUAAAACUCAAAGGAAUUGACGGGGGCUCACACAAGCGGUGGAGCAUGUGGUUCAAUUCGAAGCAACGCGCAGAACCUUACCUGGGCUUGACAUGCUAGGAUUAUCCCUAUGAAAGUAGGGUAGGCCCUUACGGGUACAACUAGUACAGGUGCUGCACGGUCGUCGUCAACU